rfam:Enterococcus mundtii QT 25 DNA, complete genome.
CAAUACGGAAUAGCGCCAGGUCUGUUUUAACAGAUGACGAGGAAAGGGUUGAUCGAAGGAUUCGGCGGAUGGCCCUAGGGACUGCAUCCUAAAAAGAAACAUAAAAACUAUCUGUGAAGGUAGAACAAAAGGUUUCUUACGCAGUUGG